GUGCCAGUGACACUUUCACAUCAUUCUGAAGGCAAAAAGUACAAAGACUAAAACCAGUGAUUGACGCACA
rnacentral:snoRNA from 1 species